UACGUAGGGGGCGAGCGUUGUCCGGAUUUAUUGGGCGUAAAAGGCUUGUAGGCGGCCACCGCGCGUCGGCUGUGAAAGCCCCCGGCUCAACUGGGGAGGGUCACGCGAUACUGAUCGACUCGAAGGCAGGAGAGGGAAGUGGAAUUCCCGGUGUAGUGGUGAAAUGCGUAGAUAUCGGGAGGAACACCAGUGGCGAAGGCGACUUCCUGGCCUGUUCUUGACGCUGAGGCGCGAAAGCUAGGGGAGCAAACGGG
rnacentral:rRNA from 1 species